CCUACGGGGUGCUGCAGUCGAGAAUCAUUCACAAUGGGGGAAACCCUGAUGGUGCGACGCCGCGUGGGGGAAUGAAGGUCUUCGGAUUGUAAACCCCUGUCAUGUGGGAGCAAAUUAAAAAGAUAGUACCACAAGAGGAAGAGACGGCUAACUCUGUGCCAGCAGCCGCGGUAAUACAGAGGUCUCAAGCGUUGUUCGGAAUCACUGGGCGUAAGGCGUGCGUAGGCUGUUUCGUAAGUCGUGUGUGAAAGGCGCGGGCUCAACCCGCGGACGGCACAUGAUACUGCGAGACUAGAGUAAUGGAGGGGGAACCGGAAUUCUCGGUGUAGCAGUGAAAUGCGUAGAUAUCGAGAGGAACACUCGUGGCGAAGGCGGGUUCCUGGACAUUAACUGACGCUGAGGCACGAAGGCCAGGGGAGCGAAAGGGAUUAGAUACCCUGGUAGUC
rnacentral:rRNA from 1 species